AGAGUUUGAUCCUGGCUCAGGACGAACGCUGGCGGCGUGCUUUAUACAUGCAAGUCGAACGAUGAAGUUCCUUCGGGAAUGGAUUAGUGGCGAACGGGUGAGGAACACGUGAGAAACCUGCCUUUCAUUCUGGAAUAACACCGGGAAACCGGUGCUAAUACCGGAUACUCCGUCUUGGCGGCAUCGCCGAGCCGGGAAAAAAUUUUGAUGAAAGAUGGUCUCGCGGCCUAUCAGCUAGUUGGUGAGGUAAUGGCUCACCAAGGCGACGACGGGUAGCCGGCCUGAGAGGGCGACCGGCCACACUGGGACUGAGACACGGCCCAGACUCCUACGGGAGGCAGCAGUAGGGAAUAUUGGGCAAUGGGCGCAAGCCUGACCCAGCGACGCCGCGUGAGGGAUGAAGGUCUUCGGAUUGUAAACCUCUUUCAGUAGGGAAGAAGCGAAAGUGACGGUACCUAAAGAAGAAGCACCGGCUAACUAUGUGCCAGCAGCCGCGGUAAUACAUAGGGUGCAAGCGUUGUCCGGAAUUAUUGGGCGUAAAGAGCUCGUAGGUCGUUUGUCGCGUCGAUUGUGAAAAUCUGAGGCUCAACCUCAGACCUGCAGUCGAUACGGGCAAACUAGAGUGUGGUAGGGGAGACUGGAAUUCCUGGUGUAGCGGUGGAAUGCGCAGAUAUCAGGAGGAACACCAAUGGCGAAGGCAGGUCUCUGGGCCAUAACUGACACUGAGGAGCGAAAGUGCGGGGAGCGAACAGGAUUAGAUACCCUGGUAGUCCGCACCGUAAACGGUGGGCACUAGUUGUGGGAACCUUCCACGGUUUCCGCGACGCAGCAAACGCAUUAAGUGCCCCGCCUGGGGAGUACGAUCGCAAGAUUAAAACUCAAAGGAAUUGACGGGGCCCCGCACAAGCAGCGGAGCAUGCGGCUUAAUUCGACGCAACGCGAAGAACCUUACCAAGGCUUGACAUAUAGCGAAAAGUGGCAGAGAUGUCAUGUCCGCAAGGGCGCUAUACAGGUGG
rnacentral:rRNA from 1 species